AUUCCAGCUCCAAUAGCGUAUAUUAAAGUUGUUGCGGUUAAAAAGCUCGUAGUUGGAUUUCUGCAUGGAAGGAGCGGUCCACCCUUUGGGUGAGUUACUGCUACCUUUUGUGCAUCUUCCUGAGAAGGCGUUCUUCACUUCAUUGUGAGGCCGCAUGACUCAGGACGUUUACUUUGAGGAAAUGAGAGUGUUUCAAGCAGGCAAAUGCCUUGAAUACGUUAGCAUGGAAUAAUAGCAUCGGACCAUCGUCCAGCUGUUGGUGUCUGGGCGAAGGUAAAGGUGAAUAGGGAUUGUUGGGGGCAUUCGUAUUUAACUGUCAGAGGUGAAAUUCUUGGAUUUGUUGAAGACGGACUACUGCGAAAGCAUCUGCCAAAGAUGUUCUCAUUA
rnacentral:rRNA from 1 species